ensembl:lncRNA
UUGCACCGGAAAUGGGCGGGGCAAUCUCUGGUGUUUUUCGUGCCACCUGACCCGAGAUUAAUUUAUUAUUAGCGCCAAGUGUGGUUCUUCCUGGUUAGGAGCACGCUCAUGGACGUGAAUGAAGUCAAGUGUGUUUUGGUAAAGAAUAACAGCAAUGUUGCAUUCAAAAUUUUUACUUUUUUCGAUUCAGAAGCCCACAACUAACAGGAAACUCAAACUCAUUAAAUGGCUACAAAGCAAAAAGUUACUAGCAAGGAGAGUAAAGUGCUCAAGAUGUGGCCAUAAUAUGAGAAUGAAGAGAGCUACAUCUCGAAAUCUCGACGGUUUUCAUUGGAUGUGCAGACAUAAAAGUCAUCGAGGCAAGAAAACCAGCCGAUCAGUGCGAGUCGGGUCUCUCUUUGAGAGAUCAAAACUCAGCUUGUCAUCUUGGCUAAUAUUCAUUUACAGGUUUGCUCAGGGAUUGCGGAUUAGACAAAUUGAUAUGAUGCAAGAUGGCAUUGCAAAAAGUUCCAGAACCCUCUCUAAGAUGGCUCGUAUCAUGAGGAAAGUUUGCCACUGUGCUAUAAAACGAUACAGACGAAGACAUGGACAAAUGAUUGGAAGUGCUCGAGAAUUUGCUGUUCUUGAUGAAAGUAACUUCCGUCAUAAACGAAAGUAUGGACGAGGGAGAGCAUCAACAACAUGGAGGCGAAAAAAAUGGGUCUUUGGCAUGCUAGGUGUGAGGGAUAAAUGCAGACACCCAAUCUUGCGGCUUGUGAAAAGAAGAUCAAGACCUCACCUAAUCCCCAUAGUUGUAAAACAUGUGCGUCCAGGCACUACCAUUAUUUCAGAUGAGUGGAGAGCCUACCGGGGGGCUUUGGCCAAUAUGGGCUACAAACAUUUUACAGUGAACCAUUCCCAGUGGUUUGUAGACCCACACAGUGGAGCUCAUUCACAACACCUUGAAAGAGCUUGGUUGACAUACAAAACAAGUGUAUGGAGACUAAGGGGGAACAGGACAGAGAAAAUGCUAAAAGAGCACCUCUCUCUCAUAGAGUGGACUCAUUGGCUUGGUGAAAAAAAUAAACGGGGGCCACUUGGGCGCCUAAUAAAAGAUAUUCACCAUCAAUUUCCUGUUUAGAGGACAACACACUGAACUUUUGAUUGUGUUUUAUGUAAUAUUUAAGUAAAAUACAAGUUAACUUGUCCUCUUGAUUUAAGGUGCACUGAUAUUUAAAAGCUUUGUUUAAUAAAAUGUGUAUUUUACCUUUUUAAUUUCUGUGCUUUAAGUGCUGGGUAAUAUUUAUCUUGAAAUAAUCAUCUUGAAUAUACUGUUGCAAAAUAAGAGUCACCUUUGUAGAUGUUAAUUGAGAUUAUUUAGAUAAUGACUUCACAUUACGUAAUCAUUAACAACUCAUAAACUAACAUGAAUUCAUGACUUGUUGAUGUAUCAUUAUGUCAUGACUUUACUUGGGGGGGCACAUUAUUACUAACUCAUGAUUAAUUACUUAUAAAGUAACAUUAAUUCAUGACUUGUUGAUGUAUCAUUAUGUCAUGACUUUACUUGGGGGGGCACAUUAUUACUAACUCAUCAUUUAUUACUCAUAAAGUAACAUUAAUUCAUGACUUGUUGAUGUAUCAUUAUGUCACGAUUUGUCUUUGUGGGGCACAUCUUUAAAAAGUUAUCAAUUACACAUGUUCUAUACAUAUUCAACUUAUCUAAGUCAGGUAUUUGGUCCUUUUCUGUGGUUUGUAAAUAAGUUGAAGAGAAGAGGACCUGUGGCUGCAUUUGGAUGGAGAAGGAACUGAACGGUAAGAGCAAAGUUGAUCAUUUGAAGUAGCGAUAGUGGCCCAAAAGAAGAGCCAGACAAACGUCUGAUAUAAAGACAGUAAGCCAAACCAUAACGUAACAAAAGUGAUAAUCAGCAUCUCUAUGCUAACUGAUUUCAAUUUGGAAAAUUGCGUCUGCUUAAUGUUAUUGUAGGACAGCAGUGGAAUCACUCAAAACCGAAUGAUAAAGUCGUUUUUAAUUAUGAAUGCAUCAUUGUGCGUUGGAUGAGUUAGGUUAAACGCAAAUAUUGCAAUAAAUCCACUGUCUUUCACUGAUGUUUGUGACAGAGCUGGUGGCAAAUUUAUAAAUUGUGUCAUUUUCAUACAUCUUGCUUCUAGAACGUGUGGUUUACUGUAGUUUAUCUCAAAGUGUUAAUUAAUACAUUAACUAUUAUGCAGGAACUAACAUGUAAUUAAGGUAGUGUUAUUCAUGCAGUAUUUCAUAUGACUCAUGUCAUAGUUAAGUUAGUUCUUCAUUAGCUCUUGAUUAAUACAUGUCUUAACUCAUCAUUAGUUCAUAGUCAAGUAAUUAUUAAUUCAGGUAUUAGUAUUUGAUGAUUCAUGUACUGUUAUUGUAAAGUGUUACCGUUUUUAGGUCCUAUAAUUAAGACCUCUGGUUUUUUUUUUUUUCAGAAUUUAGCAGUAAGAAAUUACUCGUCAUCCAGUUUUUUAUACCCAACUAUGCAUUCCAUUAGUUUUUCAAAUUAGUAUGUUUCACUGGGCUGAGAAGAAAUAUAGAGCUGAGUAUCACCAGUUUAACAGUGAAAACUAACACCAUGUUUCCUGAUGAUUUCUCUCAAAGAUAAAGUGUGAAGAGUAACGGUCCUAGUACUGAGCCUUGAGGUACUCCAUACUGCACUUGUGAUCAAUAUGUUACCCUUUCAUUCACUGCUAUGAAUUGAUGGCGGUCAUAUAAGUAUGAUUUAAACUAUGGUAAUGCACUUCCAUUAAUGCCAACAAAGUGUUCUAGUCUAUGCAAAAAUCAGAUCAGAUGAUAAGAGCAGGUCAUUUGUAAUUCUUUGGAAAGCAGUCUCAGUAUUAUGAUAAAGUUUAAAUCCUGACUGUAAAUCCUCAAAGAUACCUAAUUGUGAGGAUACCUUUUCUAGUAUCUUGGACAGAAAACAUAAAACAAAAAACAUAAACAAAACCACAUUAAACUCUGCGGCUCAUGACGAUACAGUGAUGUGUAAAGACAAAAAAGGAUCGGCCUGUGCAAGAACGUGUAUUUAUAUUGCAUUUUACAUCUGUUUCACGCAAUGUCCGAACUGUUAGAACUCUCCUGAGCGCGUCCUCAGAUGCAAGUGUGUGAGGAGGCUUCUUCUUCUUACUUAAUGGCAGAUCGCAGAGGAAGAAGAAGAAGCUUCAUGUGCCUGCUGCUAAGAAUGCACACAACAGGACGCGCUCAGGAGAGUUCUUCCAGUUCGGACAUUGCAUGAAUCAUAGGUAAAAAAAUUAUAUAAAUAAUGUUCAGUUUCUUGCACAGACUGAUUGUUUUGUGUCUUUACACAAAGGUGUAUCAUCAUGAGGGAUUAAUUUGUUUUUGUUUUUGUAUGUUUUUUGUUUUAUUGUGUCUUAGCUGUUAUUCCCAUCCACUUCCAUUAUAAGGCUGAUAGACUGCAACGUCUUCAGCUAAUAAUCUUCUACUGAAGAAACAAAGUCACCUACAUAUUGGGUACCCUGGGGGUAAGCAGAUAGACAUCAGACUUUCAUUUUUGGGUGAACUAUGCCUUUAAGCAAUUCAUUUUUGGCUGAAUCACUGCCUACCACUUUGGCUUUUUCACUGAUCGCUAUUAAAGAUCAGUGGGCAUUUGAACCAAUGCCUGUGACUCUGGUCAUAUGCUUAAAUUACAUCAUUCCCUACAUUCUGACACAGGCUAAUCAUUAAAAGACUUGGGAGGAGUUAUGAAUGAGUCUAAAGUUCACUGUCGGUUUCAGAUCUUUUUAACAGUAGCGAAAGGAGGUUUUGUGUUUUUAUUAUCAUACUGUUA